UGGGGAAUAUUGCACAAUGGGCGCAAGCCUGAUGCAGCCAUGCCGCGUGUGUGAAGAAGGCCUUCGGGUUGUAAAGCACUUUCAGCGAGGAGGAAGGUGGUGAGCUUAAUACGCUCAUCAAUUGACGUUACUCGCAGAAGAAGCACCGGCUAACUCCGUGCCAGCAGCCGCGGUAAUACGGAGGGUGCAAGCGUUAAUCGGAAUUACUGGGCGUAAAGCGCACGCAGGCGGUUUGUUAAGUCAGNUGUGAAAUCCCCGGGCUCAACCUGGGAACUGCAUUUGAAACUGGCAAGCUAGAGUCUCGUAGAGGGGGGUAGAAUUCCAGGUGUAGCGGUGAAAUGCGUAGAGAUCUGGAGGAAUACCGGUGGCGAAGGCGGCCCCCUGGACGAAGACUGACGCUCAGGUGCGAAAGCGUGGGGCAGCAAACAGGAUUAGAUACCCUGGUAGUCCACGCUGUAAACGAUGUCGAUUUUGGAGGUUGUGCCCUUGAGGCGUGGCUUCCGGAGCUAACGCGUUAAAUCGACCGCCUGGGGAGUACGGCCGCAAGGUUAAAACUUAAAUGAAUUGACGGGGUCAUA
rnacentral:rRNA from 1 species